UACGUAGGGUGCAAGCGUUGUCCGGAAUUAUUGGGCGUAAAGAGCUCGUAGGCGGUCUGUUGCGUCGGCUGUGAAAACCCGAGGCUCAACCUCGGGCCUGCAGCCGAUACGGGCAGACUAGAGUUCGGCAGGGGAGACUGGAAUUCCUGGUGUAGCGGUGAAAUGCGUAGAUAUCAGGAGGAACACCGGUGGCGAAGGCGGCUAUCUGGACAGAAACUGACGCUGAGGCGCGAAAGCUAGGGGAGCAAACAGG
rnacentral:rRNA from 1 species